rnacentral:rRNA from 1 species
GACGUAGGGGGCCAGCGUUGUUCGGAAUUACUGGGUGUAAAGGGUUCGUAGGCGGUGCGGCAAGUUGGGAGUGAAAUCUCUGGGCUUAACCCAGAGGCUGCUUCCAAAACUGCUGUGCUUGAGUGUGGGAGAGGCGCGUGGAAUUGCAGGUGUAGCGGUGAAAUGCGUAGAUAUCGGGAGGAACACCUGUGGCGAAAGCGGCUCACUGGACCAUAACUGACGCUGAGGCACGAAAGCUAGGGGAGCAAACAGG